AAUCUUCCAUGUACCUUCAGUUAAAGAAAGUAUGUGGAAAUAGAUACACUAGUGAAUAGUACCAGAUCAUUAAUAUUUGAAAUCAAAAAGAGUUUAAAACAAGGAGUAGGAUUUAGAUUAGAUAUACAGAGAGCUAAUCCUUCAAAUUCUGGCCUACUAGAAGACAGCACUUUGGGAGGCCGAGGCGGGUGGAUCAUGGGGUCAGGAGUUCAAGACCAGUCUGGCCAACAUAGUGAAACCCCGUCUCUACUAAAAAUACAAAAAAUUAGCCAGGUGUGGUGGUAUGCACCUGUAAUCCCAGCUACUUGGGAGGCUGAGGCAGAAGAACUGCGUGAACCUGGCAGGCGGAGGUUGCAGUGAGCUGAGAUUCGCCAUUGCACUCCAGCCAGCCCAGGCAAUAGAGUGAGAUUCCGUCGCAAAAGGAAAUUAUAGA
rnacentral:lncRNA from 1 species